UAGUGAUGUGGACAGGAGUCGAAG
rnacentral:piRNA from 1 species